GCUUACGGCCACACCGCCUGGUUCACGCCCGAUCUCGUUUGAUCUCGGAAGCUAAGAUAGGAUGGGCCUGGUUAGUACUUGGAUGGGAGACAGCCUGGGAAUACCAGGUGUUGUAAGAU
rnacentral:rRNA from 1 species